rnacentral:rRNA from 1 species
GAUGCACGUUGGCGUCGUGCCUAAUACAUGCAUGUCGAGCGAACAGACUAGGAGCUUGCUCCUCUUCCGUUAGCGGCGCACGUGUGCGUAACACGUGGAUAACCUACCUAUAAUCCUGGGAUAACUUCGGGAAACCGGUGCUCAUACCGGAUAAUAUAUUGAACCGCAUGGUUCACUAGUGAAAGACGGCUUUGCUGUCACUUUUAGCUGACUACGAGCCGCAUUAGCUAGUUGGUAAGCGAACGGCUUAACAAGGCAACGAUGCGUAUCCGACCUGAACGGGAGAUAGGGCACACGGGAAAGGAGACACGGUCCAGACUCCGAGUGGAGGCAGCAGUAGGGAAUCUUGCGCAAUGGGCGAGAGCGUGACGGAGCAACGCAGCGUGAGUGAUGAAAGUCUUAGGAUCAGAAAACUCUGUUAUUAAGGAAGAACAAAUGUAUAAUUAACUAUGCACGUCAUGACGAUACCUAAUCAGAAAGCGACGGCUAACUACGUG